GCAAAUUUACACCGUAACUUCGGGAGAAGGUGUGCCGCUGGCGGUUAGUGACUUCGCGUCACGAAGCUGUCGGUGGUCGCAGUGAAAUGGCGGUUGUGACUGUUUACUAAAAACACAGGACUCUGCGAAGUCGUAAGACGACGUAUAGGGUCUGAUGCCUGCCCGGUGCUGGAAGGUUAAGGGGAUAUGUCAGCGCAAGCGAAGCAUUGAACCGAAGCCCCAGUAAACGGCGGCCGUAACUAUAACGGUCCUAAGGUAGCGAAAUUCCUUGUCGGGUAAGUUCCGACCUGCACGAAGGGCAUAACAACAUCCGCACUGUCUCGACCAGGGACUCAGCGAAAUUACAUUGGGGGUGAAGAUGCCCUCUACCCGCGGAAAGACGGAAAGACCCCAUGAACCUUUACUGCAACUUGGCAGUGAUUUUCGGGUUGUUCUGCGUAGGAUAGGUGGGAGGCUUUGAAGUCGGGCUUCCGGGUUCGACUGAGCCAACGUUGAAAUACCACCCUGAAUAAUCUGGAAAUCUAACCUGCGCCCAUGAUCUGGGCGAGGGACACUGCCUGGUGGGCAGUUUGACUGGGGCGGUCGCCUCCUAAAUUGUAACGGAGGCGUGCGACGGUUCCCUCAGGCUGAUUGGAAACCAGCCGUAGAGUGCAAACGCGUAAGGGAGCUUUACUGCGAGACUGACAAGUCGAACAGUUGCGAAAGCAGGUGUUAGUGAUCCGGUGGUACCACAUGGAAGGGCCAUCGCUCAUCGGAUAAAAGGUACUCUGGGGAUAACAGGCUGAUCGCGCCUGAGAGUUCACAUCGGCGGCGCGGUUUGGCACCUCGAUGUCGGCUCAUCGCAUCCUGGGGCUGGAGCAGGUCCCAAGGGUUUGGCUGUUCGCCAAUUAAAGCGGUACGCGAGCUGGGUUUAAAACGUCGUGUGACAGUUUGGUCCCUAUCUUCCGUGGGCGCAGGACACUUGAGAGGAGCUAUCCAUAGUACGAGAGGACCUGGAUGGACGAACCUCUGGUGCUCCGGUUGUCACGCCAGUGGCAUAGCCGGGUAGCCAUGUUCGGAACAGAUAACCGCUGAAGGCAUAUAAGCGGGAAGCUGGCCUCAAGACUAGGUGUCCCUGACGCAAGUCACUAAAGGCCCCUCGAAGACUACGAGGUUGAUAGGCUCGGUGUGGAAGCGCUGCAAGGCGCGGAGCUAACGAGUACUAAUAGGCCGUGCGACUUGACCUC
rnacentral:rRNA from 1 species